GAUGAACGCUGGCGGCGUGCCUAAUACAUGCAAGUCGAGCGAACGGACGAGAAGCUUGCUUCUCUGAUGUUAGCGGCGGACGGGUGAGUAACACGUGGAUAACCUACCUAUAAGACUGGGAUAACUUCGGGAAACCGUAGCUAAUACCGGAUAAUAUUUUGAACCGCAUGGUUCAAAAGUGAAAGACGGUCUUGCUGUCACUUAUAGAUGGAUCCGCGCUGCAUUAGCUAGUUGGUAAGGUAACGGCUUACCAAGGCAACGAUGCAUAGCCGACCUGAGAGGGUGAUCGGCCACACUGGAACUGAGACACGGUCCAGACUCCUACGGGAGGCAGCAGUAGGGAAUCUUCCGCAAAGGGCGAAAGCCUGACGGAGCAACGCCGCGUGAGUGAUGAAGGUCUUCGGAUCGUAAAACUCUGUCAUUAGGGAAGAACAUAUGUGUAAGUAACUGUGCACAUCUUGACGGUACCUAAUCAGAAAGCCACGGCUAACUACGUG
rnacentral:rRNA from 1 species